UACAGAGACUGCAAGCGUUAUUCGGAUUUACUGGGCGUAAAGGGCGCGCAGGCGGUUCUGUUUGUCGAGUGUGAAAGCCCCGGGCUCAACCUGGGAACUGCGCUCGAAACGGCGGAACUAGAGUUCGGGAGAGGAGAGUGGAAUUCCCAGUGUAGAGGUGAAAUUCGUAGAUAUUGGGAAGAACACCGGUGGCGAAGGCGGCUCUCUGGACCGAUACUGACGCUGAGGCGCGAAAGCGUGGGGAGCAAACAGG
rnacentral:rRNA from 1 species